AUUGAACGCUGGCGGCAGGCCUAACACAUGCAAGUCGAACGGUAACAGAAAGCAGCUUGCUGCUUUGCUGACGAGUGGCGGACGGGUGAGUAAUGUCUGGGAAACUGCCCGAUGGAGGGGGAUAACUACUGGAAACGGUAGCUAAUACCGCAUAACGUCGCAAGACCAAAGAGGGGGACCUUCGGGCCUCUUGCCAUCGGAUGUGCCCAGAUGGGAUUAGCUAGUAGGUGGGGUAAAGGCUCACCUAGGCGACGAUCCCUAGCUGGUCUGAGAGGAUGACCAGCCACACUGGAACUGAGACACGGUCCAGACUCCUACGGGAGGCAGCAGUGGGGAAUAUUGCACAAUGGGCGCAAGCCUGAUGCAGCCAUGCCGCGUGUAUGAAGAAGGCCUUCGGGUUGUAAAGUACUUUCAGCGGGGAGGAAGGGAGUAAAGUUAAUACCUUUGCUCAUUGACGUUACCCGCAGAAGAAGCACCGGCUAACUCCGUGCCAGCAGCCGCGGUAAUACGGAGGGUGCAAGCGUUAAUCGGAAUUACUGGGCGUAAAGCGCACGCAGGCGGUUUGUUAAGUCAGAUGUGAAAUCCCCGGGCUCAACCUGGGAACUGCAUCUGAUACUGGCAAGCUUGAGUCUCGUAGAGGGGGGUAGAAUUCCAGGUGUAGCGGUGAAAUGCGUAGAGAUCUGGAGGAAUACCGGUGGCGAAGGCGGCCCCCUGGACGAAGACUGACGCUCAGGUGCGAAAGCGUGGGGAGCAAACAGGAUUAGAUACCCAGGUAGUCCACGCCGUAAACGAUGUCGACUUGGAGGUUGUGCCCUUGAGGCGUGGCUUCCGGAGCUAACGCGUUAAGUCGACCGCCUGGGGAGUACGGCCGCAAGGUUAAAACUCAAAUGAAUUGACGGGGGCCCGCACAAGCGGUGGAGCAUGUGGUUUAAUUCGAUGCAACGCGAAGAACCUUACCUGGUCUUGACAUCCACGGAAGUUUUCAGAGAUGAGAAUGUGCCUUCGGGAACCGUGAGACAGGUGCUGCAUGGCUGUCGUCAGCUCGUGUUGUGAAAUGUUGGGUUAAGUCCCGCAACGAGCGCAACCCUUAUCCUUUGUUGCCAGCGGUCCGGCCGGGAACUCAAAGGAGACUGCCAGUGAUAAACUGGAGGAAGGUGGGGAUGACGUCAAGUCAUCAUGGCCCUUACGACCAGGGCUACACACGUGCUACAAUGGCGCAUACAAAGAGAAGCGACCUCGCGAGAGCAAGCGGACCUCAUAAAGUGCGUCGUAGUCCGGAUUGGAGUCUGCAACUCGACUCCAUGAAGUCGGAAUCGCUAGUAAUCGUGGAUCAGAAUGCCACGGUGAAUACGUUCCCGGGCCU
rnacentral:rRNA from 1 species